AGCGAACGCUGGCGGCAGGCUUAACACAUGCAAGUCGAACGGGCGUAGCAAUACGUCAGUGGCAGACGGGUGAGUAACACGUGGGAACGUACCUUUUGGUUCGGAACAACACAGGGAAACUUGUGCUAAUACCGAAUAAGCCCUUACGGGGAAAGAUUUAUCGCCGAAAGAUCGGCCCGCGUCUGAUUAGCUAGUUGGUGAGGUAAUGGCUCACCAAGGCGACGAUCAGUAGCUGGUCUGAGAGGAUGAUCAGCCACACUGGGACUGAGACACGGCCCAGACUCCUACGGGAGGCAGCAGUGGGGAAUAUUGGACAAUGGGCGCAAGCCUGAUCCAGCCAUGCCGCGUGAGUGAUGAAGGCCCUAGGGUUGUAAAGCUCUUUUGUGCGGGAAGAUAAUGACGGUACCGCAAGAAUAAGCCCCGGCUAACUUCGUGCCAGCAGCCGCGGUAAU
rnacentral:rRNA from 1 species